rnacentral:rRNA from 1 species
ACACUCCUACGGGAGGCAGCAGUGGGGAAUUUUGGACAAUGGGCGAAAGCCUGAUCCAGCCAUGCCGCGUGCAGGAUGAAGGCCUUCGGGUUGUAAACUGCUUUUGUACGGAACGAAACGGCCUUUUCUAAUAAAGAGGGCUAAUGACGGUACCGUAAGAAUAAGCACCGGCUAACUACGUGCCAGCAGCCGCGGUAAUACGUAGGGUGCAAGCGUUAAUCGGAAUUACUGGGCGUAAAGCGUGCGCAGGCGGUUAUGUAAGACAGUUGUGAAAUCCCCGGGCUCAACCUGGGAACUGCAUCUGUGACUGCAUAGCUAGAGUACGGUAGAGGGGGAUGGAAUUCCGCGUGUAGCAGUGAAAUGCGUAGAUAUGCGGAGGAACACCGAUGGCGAAGGCAAUCCCCUGGACCUGUACUGACGCUCAUGCACGAAAGCGUGGGGAGCAAACAGGAUUAGAUACCCUUGUAGUCCCAUG